rnacentral:rRNA from 1 species
CCUAACACAUGCAAGUCGAACGGUAACAGGAAGAAGCUCGCUUCUUCGCUGACGAGUGGCGGACGGGUGAGUAAUGUCUGGGAAACCGCCUGAUGGAGGGGGAUAACUACUGGAAACGGUAGCUAAUACCGCAUAACGUCGCAAGACCAAAGAGGGGGACCUUCGGGCCUCUUGCCAUCGGAUGUGCCCAGAUGGGAUUAGCUAGUAGGUGGGGUAACGGCUCACCUAGGCGACGAUCCCUAGCUGGUCUGAGAGGAUGACCAGCCACACUGGAACUGAGACACGGUCCAGACUCCUACGGGAGGCAGCAGUGGGGAAUAUUGCACAAUGGGCGCAAGCCUGAUGCAGCCAUGCCGCGUGUAUGAAGAA